rnacentral:rRNA from 1 species
GACGAACCGUGCGAACGUUAUUCGGAAUCACUGGGCUUAAAGGGCGCGUAGGCGGGCUCGCCAGUCAGGGGUGAAAGCCCACGGCUCAACCGUGGAAGUGCCUUUGAUACUGCGAGUCUCGAGGGAGGUAGGGGCGUGCGGAACUUCCGGUGGAGCGGUGAAAUGCGUAGAUAUCGGAAGGAACACCGGUGGCGAAAGCGGCGCGCUGGACCUCUUCUGGCGCUGAGGCGCGAAAGCCAGGGGAGCAAACGGG